ensembl:snoRNA
GCAUGGCUGAAUACUGUGUUCUUUAGUCAGUAAUUUACACAGCCAGACACCAUGCAAAAGUAAAGGCUUCCGUUUAGAUGGCUGAUAUGCUAUAUUGUAUGGUAUAUCAUUAUCAAAAGUGAGUACAAGU